rnacentral:rRNA from 1 species
AGAGUUUGAUCCUGGCUCAGAUUGAACGCUGGCGGCAGGCCUAACACAUGCAAGUCGAGCGGUAGCACAGAGAGCUUGCUCUCGGGUGACGAGCGGCGGACGGGUGAGUAAUGUCUGGGAAACUGCCUGAUGGAGGGGGAUAACUACUGGAAACGGUAGCUAAUACCGCAUAACGUCGCAAGACCAAAGUGGGGGACCUUCGGGCCUCAUGCCAUCAGAUGUGCCCAGAUGGGAUUAGCUAGUAGGUGGGGUAAUGGCUCACCUAGGCGACGAUCCCUAGCUGGUCUGAGAGGAUGACCAGCCACACUGGAACUGAGACACGGUCCAGACUCCUACGGGAGGCAGCAGUGGGGAAUAUUGCGCAAUGGGCGAAAGCCUGACGCAGCGACGCCGCGUGAGGGAUGAAGGUUUUCGGAUCGUAAACCUCUGUCAGAAGGGAAGAAACUGCCGUGCUCUAAUCAUCAUGGCAUUGACGGUACCUUCAAAGGAAGCACCGGCUAACUCCGUGCCAGCAGCCGCGGUAA